rnacentral:rRNA from 1 species
AUGGCGAGCUCGACGAGGAGGCUUGCGUUUGUGCUACUCGUGCUGGCCUUUUCGGCCGCGCUCGCAGAGAGCAGAGAUGCAUAUAUGAGGAGCGCAAAUCGAUAUGCCUGCAUACUGACCCAGGAAAGCUUCCCUCUUGCAAGCAGAGGGGCAGGAUUAACUUCGGCAAACGGAAAGCUGUGUGUACUAUGUGAGCAGUACUCAACCGAAGCUCUGGUCUACCUGCGACAAAACGAAACCCAGACCGAGAUUCUCAGUGCCCUCCACCACACGUGUGCAAGUCUUGGUCCUCUAAGACAGCAGUGCAUCACGCUGGUUGACUACUACAUUCCCGCUUUCUUCUUGGAGGUUUCUGUGGUUAAACCUGAAGAGCUCUGUGAGUCAGCGCACCUCUGCCCAAAGGGGGCGGCGACUCGGUCGUCCACGCGAGGGGAGGCCUGUGGUCUAUGCCAUCAUGUUCUUGUUGAAGUUCUUACCAUGCUUAAGGAUCCCAACACCAAGCUGGAGAUAGUCGGGCUUCUUUUCAAAACAUGCAGCAAGGCAAAGAACUAUGAACCGCAGUGCAAGAGGCUUGUCCUUGACUACAUCCCACUGAUUCUGGUGAAGACCCAGAACUUCCUUGAGACGACGGAUGUCUGCUUUGCGACACAUGCCUGUAAAACAGGCAUGCAAGCAACCAUUCCUCUAUCCGCCGCUUUGUGA